AAACUUGAGAGUUUGAUCCUGGCUCAGAACGAACGCUGGCGGCAUGCCUAACACAUGCAAGUCGAACGAACUCUUCGGAGUUAGUGGCGCACGGGUGCGUAACGCGUGGGAAUCUGCCCUUGGGUACGGAAUAACUCAGAGAAAUUUGUGCUAAUACCGUAUAAUGUCUUCGGACCAAAGAUUUAUCGCCCAAGGAUGAGCCCGCGUAAGAUUAGCUAGUUGGUGGGGUAAAGGCCUACCAAGGCUACGAUCUUUAGCUGGUCUGAGAGGAUGAUCAGCCACACUGGGACUGAGACACGGCCCAGACUCCUACGGGAGGCAGCAGUGGGGAAUAUUGGACAAUGGGCGAAAGCCUGAUCCAGCAAUGCCGCGUGAGUGAUGAAGGCCUUAGGGUUGUAAAGCUCUUUUACCCGGGAUGAUAAUGACAGUACCGGGAGAAUAAGCUCCGGCUAACUCCGAGCCAGCAGCCGCGGUAAUACGGAGGGAGCUAGCGUUGUUCGGAAUUACUGGGCGUAAAGCGCGCGUAGGCGGUUUUUUAA
rnacentral:rRNA from 1 species